AAAACCAUAAGAUCUGCAUACCCCGUCCGGUAUGUGAGACCACAAUCCCGGUAGGGUUCCCUACGGACCUGGUCCGUCCACCAUCUCCCAGGAUAUCUAGUUAGGCUGACCCUCAUAAUACAAUUAUCAGUUUACACAAUCUUUCAUUUUCCUUUUCCUCAGUCAGCAUCAUCAAUUCACAUACAAACAAGCAAAACAGUAAUUCAUGCCGAACAGACAACAUACAGUAUCAGUUUUUCAGUCAUUCAACCCAUGAUUAAUAAAAACGCAGUAUUUGCACACAAAUCUGUAAAAUGAACACAUCAAACCUCAUUUGCAUUUAAAGCUGUAAACAGGCUAAAUAACAGUAAAUCACCAAUCACACUAGACUCGGGCUCCAUUAGUCACCUUAAGCAAUUUCACACAUUCGUUAAUUCAAGAAAUACCGUUUUAUC
rnacentral:lncRNA from 1 species